GCUGUUCGGGUAAAUUUCGCAAACACUCAGCAUUCAGCUUCCGCGUUGACAGUUCGAGCCGCAGGGACGGCGUUUAAACGUAACCCUGUAUUCAAUCCAUUUCCCCGCUUCUGUUUACAAGGGGGUUCGGGGUUAAGAAGAAGAACUGCAAACCAGGAACAAAAACAGAAGUUGUUGUGGAAGAAAAGGUCAGCAGGAUUGGCGGCAUCUGCUAAGAAGAAUUUUAAAAAAUCAGAGUUGACGUUUCGGCUCCGGCGACCCUUUGUCAGAAGACGAAUUCCCGGCACCUUCAAAACACAAAGUAAAGAAAAUGUCUUCAAAAAGAAAUCCUGCAAACAACAGAAAAGAUUACCGUAUUUGGAGAAGGGUGUGCGAGCUAUUCCUGGCGGUCAGCGUUUCCGCCUUUUUGGAUCGUUGUAUUGAAGCUAAAUAUGGAAAACAGAGCUGACAGGGGAGAUGUAGUGGAAACCGACACUGACUGGAUGCAUCUAAAACACGAACCCCGGGAAAGAGCAGGGCGUUAAGAGUAGGAGGGGGAAGUACGUGUUGGCUAGGGCGCUGGGAAUAGUGAAAAAGUUACCAUUCAGGGGGUGCGAGAGAGAGGGAGGGGGGCAGGGAAUUGAAAGGAGGUGUCUCAGCCGUUCACACACUCCAGUGGGACUCGGAGUCGAGAGGGAAGCGGGAGAAGGCACUUUCAGGUUAAAAGUGGCAUUCGUAGUUUUAUUGUACCCGUGUGUACCGGGCACAGCCAGAUGCAACAACAUUCUGGGGGAUAAAUGAAACGGAGAUCUGGGAUGCUGAACGUGGUAGAGCAUUGCCGGUAGAGAGGGAGAAAGCAUACGCGAAAAGCAUUACAACGUGAAAUAGAGAUAGUAGGAACUGCAGAUGCUGGAGAAUCUCAGCUAACAAGGUGUAGAUCUGGAUGAACACAGCAGGUCAAGCAGCAUCAGAGGAGCAGGAAAGCUGACGUUUCGGGCCUGGACCCUUAUGCAGAAAAAAAAUGUGAAAUGGUUUCUUGAGGAGGGCAGAUGUAAAACAUGUUUUUGUGGAGAGACUGUAAACAAGAGCAGACGCAGUUUGGAGAUCAGAAGACAAAACAGGAGAAGGGAAGGGUUUUGUGUGUUGAAAACAUUCCGGUCGGUGACGCUGUGAUCCGCCUAAUGUUUCAAACUGCUCCCUGUUCCGCAUUCUGUUUCCCAGACCCUGGGCAUUGCCCAGUUUAGCUGUUGCAAUGCACACCCGCUAAUUGUCUCGCAUGGCUGGAUUUAUUGUCCAAAAAUAAACGGACAAUAUAAGCUGAUCUGUCCGCUACUACGCGAUAAAUGUGAGAUUCAGCGUGUGUGGAGGGACAGCUUGGAAGGCGAUGAGCCCUUCGGCGAUUCAUAUCCCAGUUCAAACAAAUGACCACCAUAUUCAAUGCCUAAAUUUGGAGAGCUCAUACUUGGAUGUCUCAGUCACACUUUUUCAAUCCUCCCGCUGCUUUAUCGGCCUCGAGUGUAAAAAAUAAAGUAUUUUUUAACGUAAAA